UGCUUUGUUGCGGAAUGGCUAAACGCAAUCGGCCUGAGAAGCCGUAUCUUUAUAAGACUUGCAGGUUCGAAUCCUGCCAAUGCCU
rnacentral:tRNA from 1 species